UAUUGGGCAACUGGCAUUAGCACAGCGUGGUGAUGGUAAUUAUUAUCGUGGUUGCAUUAUUACUGUAAAGGAAGACAGAGUGGAACUUCUGUUCGAUGAUGUUGGUUGUAGAGAAUAUAUAGAUAGGAAGAAAAUUAAGAUUUAUCCUGAAUAUUUGAGGAAGCUUGGACAUUGUAUAUCAAAAAUCUUUUUACAAGAUGUUCCUAAAAAUAUCCCCCCGAUACAAUCAAUAAUUAAAAUUCUGGAGAACCUAGUGGAAAAUAAAGUCCCUCUGAUAUGUACAUA